rnacentral:rRNA from 1 species
GACGAACGCUGGCGGCGUGCUUAACACAUGCAAGUGGAGCGACGAACCAGGGCUUGCCCUGGGGCAAAGCCGCGAACGGGUGAGUAACACGUGGGUAACCUGCCCCGAGGACCGGGACAACCCGAGGAAACUCGGGCUAAUACCGGAUGUGGUCACUCUUCAUAAGGAGAGUGAGCAAAGGAAGCUUCGGCCUCCGCUUCGUGAUGGGCCAGCGGCCCAUUAGCUUGUUGGUGAGGUAACGGCUCACCAAGGCUUCGAUGGGUAGCUGGUCGGAGAGGACGAUCAGCCACACUGGGACUGAGACACGGCCCAGACUCCUACGGGAGGCAGCAGUGGGGAAUCUUGCGCAAUGGGCGACAGCCUGACGCAGCAACGCCGCGUGAGGGAAGAAGGCUUUCGGGUCGUAAACCUCUUCCAGGAGGGACGAAGCUUCGGGAGUGAAUAGCUUUCCGGAGUGACGGUACUUCCACAAGAAGCCCCGGCUAACUACGUGCCAGCAGCCGCCGUAA